UACGGAGACUGCAAGCGUUAUUCGGAUUCACUGGGCGUAAAGGGUGCGCAGGCGGCCGUGUGUGUCAGGUGUGAAAGCCCGGGGCUUAACCCCGGAAUUGCGCCUGAAACUACAUGGCUAGAGCAUUGGAGAGGGUAGCGGAAUUCACGGUGUAGCAGUGAAAUGCGCAGAUAUCGUGAGGAACACCAGAGGCGAAGGCGGCUACCUGGACAAUUGCUGACGCUCAGGCACGAAAGCGUGGGGAGCAAAAGGG
rnacentral:rRNA from 1 species